rnacentral:rRNA from 1 species
GACGGAGGAUGCAAGUGUUAUCCGGAAUCACUGGGCGUAAAGCGUCUGUAGGUGGUCAAAUAAGUCAACUGUUAAAUCUUGAGGCUCAACCUCAAAAAUCGCAGUCGAAACUAUUAGACUAGAGUAUAGUAGGGGUAAAGGGAAUUUCCAAGUGGAGCGGUGAAAUGCGUAGAGAGUUGGAAAAGAACACCGAUGGCGAAGGCACUUUACUGGGCUAUUACUAACACUC